rnacentral:tRNA from 1 species
GGGCGGGUAGCGUAGUGGUCAGCGUGCUCACUAACCGUUAUCAGCGUUGCUAUUCUAGCGUUUAGCGAGAGUCUUGGGUUCGAAUCCCAGCCCGCCCA